rnacentral:miRNA from 10 species
ACCGUGCAUCGAACAUAUCACG